rnacentral:rRNA from 1 species
CCUACGGGGGGCUGCAGUGGGGAAUAUUGGACAAUGGGGGGAACCCUGAUCCUGCCAUGCCGCGUGUGUGAAGAAGGCCCUCGGGUUGUAAAGCACUUUCAGUGAGGAAGAACGCCUGGUGGUUAAUACCCAUCAGGAAAGACAUCACUCACAGAAGAAGCACCGGCUAACUCCGUGCCAGCAGCCGCGGUAAUACGGAGGGUGCGAGCGUUAAUCGGAAUUACUGGGCGUAAAGCGCGCGUAGGUGGCUUGAUAAGCCGGUUGUGAAAGCCCCGGGCUCAACCUGGGAACGGCAUCCGGAACUGUCAAGCUAGAGUGCAGGAGAGGAAGGUAGAAUUCCCGGUGUAGCGGUGAAAGGCGUAGAGAUCGGGAGGAAUACCAGUGGCGAAGGCGGCCUUCUGGACUGACACUGACACUGAGGUGCGAAAGCGUGGGUAGCAAACAGGAUUAGAUACCCGUGUAGUC